rnacentral:rRNA from 1 species
UGGGGAAUAUUGGACAAUGGGCGAAAGCCUGAUCCAGCCAUGCCGCGUGUGUGAAGAAGGUCUUCGGAUUGUAAAGCACUUUAAGUUGGGAGGAAGGGCAGUUACCUAAUACGUAUCUGUUUUGACGUUACCGACAGAAUAAGCACCGGC